UGCAAAUGGAGAUACACGGCUCUGCAAAAUCCGCUGUCAUCCUUUGAGUAAAGAUAUGAAUGUGGUCUUGUAAAAACUGUGGGAUGACUGCAUCGACAAGAAUCCAUCUACUAAACACUACAGAUAAGUGCUGAGUUCACUUGCAUUACCACCAUCCCACUUAUCAGUUUAUGGC